rnacentral:misc_RNA from 1 species
GGGUAUAGUCCAAACUCAUCACAAGUGUGAGUUGAUGAGUUUUUAUUGGUAAUUAUCCUUUUUUGUUCCUGUUUGAUUAUUGGGUUUGGUUUUCUGAUUCUUUUAUUAUCUGGCUCUAGAAUUUAUUUUCUUGUUUGUUGGUGAGUGAUUUCAUUUUGUAUAGCUAGGCUAUUUUGCCUAUUUUGUCAAUUGGGUAAUCAACAUUGAACUUUUUGGUUCUGGAAAAAAUUAAUCAUUUUUAAAACAGUACAAGCAAAGUUUAAAACAACUUUUUUAUAUAUUUAAAAUAACAAUAAGG